UGCCAGCAGCCGCGGUAAUACGAAGGGACCUAGCGUAGUUCGGAAUUACUGGGCUUAAAGAGUUCGUAGGUGGUUGAAAAAGUUGGUGGUGAAAUCCCAGAGCUCAACUCUGGAACUGCCAUCAAAACUUUUUAACUAGAGUAUGAUAGAGGUAAGCGGAAUUUCUAGUGUAGAGGUGAAAUUCGCAGAUAUUAGAAAGAACACCAAAUGCGAAGGCAACUUUCUGGAUCGCAACUGACACUGAGGAGCGAAAGCAUGGGUAGCGAAGAGGAUUAGAUA
rnacentral:rRNA from 1 species